CAACAAUAAAAAUCACUGUGUGACGUGUAAAAUCACUGUGUGACGUGUAAUGCCUCUGUUGACUCCCCAGCCGUUGUGUCCGUCUGUGAGGGUGAAUGGAGCCGUCCUCUAUGCAGCACACAAACUUUAACAACAAGUGCUGUGCUUUGGCAAAAUUAGUUAUGCAAGAAAUGUCGGUGGAAACGAUAUAUACAUAUAACCAUCAAUUCGAAGUAAACUUGGGAGUCACGCGAUGACAUGUUACGUGGUCCUCCCACUACGACUCGUUGGGAAAACAUGCGUUUUUUUAGGCUUACAGAUGAAAAUACAGUAUGAGUGCUGUUGGCUAGAGCGCAUAAUAUCAGUGGCACACACUAUAUAACGCAACCGUUUUUUGUGAGAAAGCCAUCAGUUGAGUUGGGGAAAAAAAUAUUUAACGUGUAUUGGUAAUUUAAACGCAAAAAUAUACAGUAUUUUCUGUAGCCUACGUCAUCACGCACAGCCUUUUAUUUGCAACAAGUCAAUUUGAUGGAAACAUCUCUGGUUGGAAAAUGUUCAUAUUGUUUUGAUAUGGAUUUUAGAAUAUUUGCAUGAAAAUCAGAUUGCUGUACACAAGACUGUGAUCAUCUCAAGGACCUUAAACGGUGUUUUACCAAGUAACUGGGGGUUCUCCUACGAUCCUCAAAGUUCUUUGAAGAACCAUAGGGUUCUUGGCACUGAAAUCCGCCCCCAAAAGGUUCUUCCAAGAACCCCAUAGGAGGUGGGGUUCAUCGAGGAAAAUCCUUAGUUGGUGGGGGUUCUUGCAGGAACCUGACUGCCCAACUGAAAAAUGUGGAUUUGAAUUUGAAAGGAUAGCAGGUGCAGGCACUUAACUGAAAAGUGUAAAGAUCUCCUCAAUGUAAGGUAAGGUUUGUCCCUUGUAUGAUCAAAAUGUAUAUUGUUUUCUGAUGAUACUAUCUAUCUUUUCAUAUUUGUGCAAAUCUUUCUAUGACAGAAAAUGGACAAAAUUCAAUGGAUAUCAAUCAACAAAGUGGUAACAAUAUGUAGGCUAUAAGAAUAUGUUGAAGGUUAUCUGUAUUGGGUGCAGAUGACUCAUUUUUGUGUCUGUCUGCAGGUAUACAGACGAGAACGCAUACAAAGACUUUACCCUCCCGACAUCUCUGAAUAUAACAGAAAACCUAUUUGAUCACCAUGCACUGAAAAAUGAUUCUGGCUAUGGAUACAGAGAACAUCAACACAUUAACAUCAACACGCCAGAGGAUAUACCCAUUGGACUUGGGGCUCUGUUGGGAGUUUACCUCGUAUUUUGAUUUUUUAAUUCUGCUUUGCCACUAAAAUCAUAAACACUGCCAACUAAAAUAUUGUUAUUGUUAUUUUUAUGCAUAUUAUUAUUAUUCAUAAUAAUACUUGGUAUUUGUAUGUUACGCAGAUCAUAAUAAUAAUAGUAGGGGAGGGGGUAGUUCAGAUAUUAGCCCCAAAAGGUUCUUUGAGGAUCCAUUAAAAGGGGUCAUUUGAAGAACUGUGGGGUUCCCCCUGAAGGAUCCUCCAGGAACCUUUUAUAUUUAGAGUGUACAUGUGUUUACCUCUUCAGAACAGGUUGAGUCAUGAAGUGUCAGAGUUAAGACUGUGUUUGUCAUAAGGCCAGUCUACCUACCUACAGCCUUAAGUUCUGUCUCUUCAGUGUCUCUGUUAAAGCGUCAGGUGUGUUAUGGUUAAAGAGACUGACAAUUCCAAUUAAAGUCUAAUCCAAUUGUUAAUUUACUAUAGGGCCUCCUGUUUGUGUGUCAGCACCCAAUUCAAUUAGGUGCAGGACAGAUAAAGGGCAUUGUCUGCCCCAGGAGCAAUGAGGUGCCUGUAGGUUUCCAUAGGUGUCUGGCUAUACCUCUCACAAACAGACACAGAAAAUCUAUUUGUUGCUGAGGCAAGGUUUCCAGGGAAACAGAUGGGUUGAUCUAAACCUGAAGAAGGACCAAACAUCUGUAAAUUAUAUCAUACAGCCAGCUGCACUGGGAAAUGCUCCACUGAGUUCACGUUCUGCUGCUGUAGGUA
ensembl:lncRNA